AGAGCAAAGGACAGACAGCGCCCACAUGAGAGCUUGCUUCGUGGGGCUACCCUACUCCGGUAGGGUUUAGAGUCGUAGCACCUCUCGGAGAAGUGCUGUCCUGAACUCCACCCUUGAAUAAAUUACCUUUGUUGCUUUGGCGGGCCGCCUAGCGCCAGCGGCUUCGGCUGUUGAGUGCCCGCCAGAGGACCACAACUCUUGUUUUUAGUGAUGUCUGAGUACUAUAUAAUAGUUAAAACUUUCAACAACGGAUCUCUUGGUUCU
rnacentral:misc_RNA from 1 species